rnacentral:rRNA from 1 species
AGCGUAGGCGGGAUCGCAAGUCAGAUGUGAAAUACAUAGGCUUAACCUAUGGGCUGCAUUUGAAACUGCGGUUCUUGAGUGAAGUAGAGGUAAGCGGAAUUCCUGGUGUAGCGGUGAAAUGCGUAGAUAUCAGGAGGAACACCGGUGGCGAAGGCGGCUUACUGGGCUUUAACUGACGCUGAGGCUGAAAGCGUGGGUAGCAAACA